AAAGUACUCCCUCCGUCCCAAAAUUCUUGUCUUAGAUUUGUCUAGAUACAGAUGUAUCUAAUACUAAAAUGUGACUUGAUACAUCCAUAUCUAUCCAAAUCUAAGACAAGAAAUUUGGGACAGAGGGAGUAGUUG
rfam:Triticum urartu cultivar G1812 contig935004, whole genome shotgun sequence.